rnacentral:rRNA from 1 species
UUCUUGGUCAUUUAGAGGAAGUAAAAGUCGUAGCAAGGUUUCCGUAGGUGAACCUGCGGAAGGAUCAUUAAAGAAAUUUAAUAAUUUUGAAAAUGGAUUUUUCUGUUUUGGCAAGAGCAUGAGAGCUUUUACUGGGCAAGAAGACAAGAGAUGGAGAGUCCAGCCGGGCCUGCGCUUAAGUGCGCGGUCGUGCUAGGCUUGUAAGUUUCUUUCUUGCUAUUCCAAACGGUGAGAGAUUUCUGUGCUUUUGUUAUAGGACAAUUAAAACCGUUUCAAUACAACACACUGUGGAGUUUUCAUAUCUUUGCAACUUUUUCUUUGGGCAUUCGAGCAAUCGGGGCCCAGAGGUAACAAGCACAAACAAUUUUAUCUAUUCAUUAAAUUUUUGUCAAAAACAAGAAUUUUCGUAACUGGAAAUUUUAAAAUAUUAAAAACUUUCAACAACGGAUCUCUUGGUUCUCGCAUCGAUGAAGAACGCAGCGAAAUGCGAUACGUAAUGUGAAUUGCAGAAUUCCGUGAAUCAUCGAAUCUUUGAACGCACAUUGCGCCCCUUGGUAUUCCAGGGGGCAUGCCUGUUUGAGCGUCAUUUCCUUCUCAAACAUUCUGUUUGGUAGUGAGUGAUACUCUUUGGAGUUAACUUGAAAUUGCUGGCCUUUUCAUUGGAUGUUUUUUUUCCAAAGAGAGGUUUCUCUGCGUGCUUGAGGUAUAAUGCAAGUACGGUCGUUUUAGGUUUUACCAACUGCGGCUAAUCUUUUUUUAUACUGAGCGUAUUGGAACGUUAUCGAUAAGAAGAGAGCGUCAAGGCGAACAAUGUUCUUAAAGUUUGACCUCAAAUCAGGUAGGAGUACCCGCUGAACUUAAGCAUAUCAAUAAGCGGAGGAA